GCAUCCUUAGCUCAGUUGGAUAGAGCAUCGCCCUCCGAAGGCGGGGGUCGCCGGUUCGAAUCCGGUGGGGUGCA
rnacentral:tRNA from 1 species